rnacentral:tRNA from 2 species
GGGCGCGUAGCUCAGUUGGUUAGAGCACCUGGUUUACAUCCAGGGUGUCGGGGGUUCGAUUCCCUCCGCGCCCA